UACGUAGGGUCCGGGCGUUGUCCGGAAUUAUUGGGCGUGAAGGGCUCGUAGGCGGUCUGUUGCGUCGGGAGUGAAAACUUACAGCUUAACUGUGAGCGUGCUUCCGAUACGGGCAGACUUGAGGUAUUCAGGGGAGAACGGAAUUCCUGGUGUAGCGGUGAAAUGCGCAGAUAUCAGGAGGAACACCGGUGGCGAAGGCGGUUCUCUGGGAAUAUCCUGACGCUGAGGAGCGAAAGUGUGGGGAGCGAACAGG
rnacentral:rRNA from 1 species